rnacentral:rRNA from 1 species
CAGUCGCCGCGGGAAUACAGAGGGUGCGAGCGUUAAUCGGAUUUACCGGGCGUAAAGCGUGCGUAGGCGGCUAAUUGAGUCGGAUGUGAAAUCCCCGAGCUUAACUUGGGAAUUGCAUUCGAUACUGGUUAGCUAGAGUGUGGGAGAGGAUGGUAGAAUUCCAGGUGUAGCGGUGAAAUGCGUAGAGAUCUGGAGGAAUACCGAUGGCGAAGGCAGCCAUCUGGCCUAACACUGACGCUGAGGUACGAAAGCAUGGGGAGCAAACAGGAUUAGAGACCCCCGUAGUCCCUGUCUCUUAUAC